rnacentral:rRNA from 1 species
UACGAAGGGGGCUAGCGUUGUUCGGAAUUACUGGGCGUAAAGCGCGCGCAGGCGGUCUUCCAAGUCAGUGGUGAAAGCCCGGAGCUCAACUCCGGAACUGCCAUUGAAACUGUUGGACUUGAGUACGAGAGAGGUGAGUGGAAUUCCCAGUGUAGAGGUGAAAUUCGUAGAUAUUGGGAAGAACACCGGUGGCGAAGGCGCCUCACUGGCUCGUAACUGACGCUCAGGCGCGACAGCGUGGGGAUCAAACAGG